rnacentral:lncRNA from 10 species
GGGCAGCCAGUGUGGAUGCAGAGUGGGGGUAGACAGCAAUUGCAGGUGAGAGGCAAGAAUGCGUCGCCAGGUAGGCUGGGCCCGGGUGGUCUUCUGGAUGCAGGCCCUUAGCACCUAACGGUCACUUGCAGCCCUGUUCUCUCGCUUGUACCUGCUCCCACUGAACUGGAAGCAGCCACCAUUUCCAGAAUUUGGAGCUAUGGUUUCCUGAUUCUCACUAAUCCCAGCUGCUUCAUAACUUCUGGACCACUGAAAGUAUCCUGUUCUGGUUAUCUGUUGCUGAGUAAGGAAUCACUCUUAAAGGUAAUGGCUUAAAACAACCAUUUUAUUCUCAUUUCUCAUGGCUCCUGAGGGUUGAUGGGUUUGGCUGCGCAGGUCCUGUUCCGAUGCCCUCCUUUUAUGGGCCUGCAGCCAGACUGGUUGGGCGCUGCUUAUCCGGGCAUCAGAUGGAACACCUGCCUGUGUCACCUCCAUGUGGCUUGGGCUGUCUCAUAGCAUGGAGUCUGAGUGUCAAUAAUAAGCUCGCCCAGAGGGCCAGGCAGAAAUGGAAUCGGCCUUUCUGACCCAGCUAGUCACGUGGCAUCACUUUUGUGUAGUCACUGGCCCACCAGGGUUCCAGGAGAGGAAGGAGAGACCCCAACUCUGGAUAGGAGGAGCGUCUGAGCCCCUUGGUAGAAAAGCCAUGUGGGAUGAAAGGUCUUGUGGUAGCCAUCUUGGAAAAUGCAAGAUCUGUCGCAACCACCUUUCCCCAGCACUGCCAGGAAUUAACUUAUUUUCUUAAACACCUUUUCUGCAUUUUUUAAGAACUUAGGGGCAGGAUCAUGGAGCCAAAGCUUAGGCUCACCAGUCUUCUUGAGGUGAUCUCACCUCAUGGCUUAUUUAAUUUGUACUAUUCCCCGCUAUUCUAUCUUGCAGUUUGUGCCAUCUCAUCCUCAUGUACUCAGCUGGUGUUCCACACAGAAACCCCCUGGGGCCAGCGUGCAUGAUGUAGGCUUGAGGUGGAGGCUGCCCUCCUGGCCUUGUCGGACACAGCCUGGAAGCGGGGCCCAGUCACAGCGACAGUCAUGGACUCCGAGGGUCCCCUGCCAGCUCUGUAGACCCUCUGCCUCCUAAGGCUCUCUGCGACUGCCGUGAUCUACAGUUGGGAGUGCUCCAGGGAGUUCUCAUGUGUGCUCCUCCACACGCAAGAGGCACUGCCUCUCGGGCGCCGAUGUAGAAUGGCUGGUGGGAAUGGCUCGGUCCACUCUGAAUGAUCUCUCUCUUCUUAAAACCUGAGCAUGGGUGCCCAUGGCCUGCCCUCGGCCUGUCCAGUAGGCAGGGUGGGCACAGCACAGCAGUGCCUGGCUGCCCUGUCUCCCUCCUCUCACUGAGUCCUCCUGCAGGUGCACACUAGUGAGCUGCCCCACCGUCCUUCAGACUGGAGGUGCCUGAGAGAAGGGGCAGGCACAGGGGGAUUGGAGGCCGUGCUAGUCAGGCUGGGUGAAGCAGCGGGGCUUGAGGAGGGCACCGCAGCCCUGUGAAGCUGAAUCAGGACCUGGGAGCCACCUAGGCCUGGACCCCACAAUGGAGACUGGGGAGUUAGGAGAUGGCUGUGGUCCCUGCUCAUCUCACUGGAUGCCCAAGUGAGAUGCUUAGGAGUUAAAUGGACAGAGCCUCCAGCUGGGGCCAAUGCUGAGAAGGCCUCUCCGGAGGGGGAAUUUGCUUUCUUUUGCAACAAGGGAAGCUUGAAUUCUGCCGUAAGGAUCUCCAUUCCUCACCAAGAAGUCUGGAGUCAUGCCACACACAGCUGGAUCAGCGCUGCCUUUUGGUCUGAUGUGACAGUGGUUAAACUUGUGUGACAAUGAGAAAUCAUGACAAACGACUUCCUUAAUGUCAAAGUUUCCUAACUUUUCAGGGAAGAGAAAAUAGGGCAACUGCAUCAUAUUGCGGACAGUGAACUCGGAUCUUUUAACUUCAUUCCUACACCAAAGUUGCUGAUUGAGGGAAAUGGACAGGAAUCGGCCUGACCCUUGGGUCUUGGGUAUAGACAGGACAGGGCUGUCUGCCGAGAAGUGAGGCAGGAGCCGAGCAGGGAUGUUUUGGAAUCGGCGAGGGUGUCUGAACACCAUCAGCUCUGCCUGCAUCUGCUCCUCAGGCUGUCUGCAAGUAGCACCGUGUCCUGGAGCAGCAUGUUAAAAAGCUGAGUUGGUUCAGGCUUUUGAAAAAUCAAAACAAGACAAACGUCCACCCCCGUGAUGAACAACAACUUUUUCCCAGGCUUGCAAGCGCUGCGGCCGGGUUGCCCUGGCAACGACACAUUUUGGAUCGGCCGCUUCCCUGGGCCUUCCUUUCCCAUGUGCACAAUGGGGAUGGGAGAAGGUCAAGGUCAUUUCCGGCUGCACAUUCUGGGAGGCAAACCCAUACCUCGGAGGCCUCUCUCCUGCCCUUUAGUCCCUGGCUGGCAUCUCAGCAGGGAGAAUAAAGGCGUCUGUGUUGUGGCUUCCUGGAGCCUCUUCCUUGGAAACAGAUAGUCUGAUAGGCAAUGAUGGCAGCUGCUGACUGCUUAUGGCCUGGCUGCUGCUGGCCAUGUGGGCCUCUGGAGCGGGGGGCCUUGUCAAGGCUCCCCAGACCCACUUCCACAGCCACAGGACCUGCCUGCAGUCUCUUUCCCUUUUCCUGGAAACUUCUGUCCCUUUGUCUACUCCCGAUGAGUCAGAGUAGCCGAUGGAGAGGAGUGCAGAGCCCAGGCCAGAAACAAGUGGCAAAGGCAAGGUGUGUCUCCUCUCUAAGGUCGCUAGGCCACAGCAGCAGUGGUUUUCGUUUGGGCCUGACAAGGAGCCGGUGCUGUAGUCACCCAUGACUCUGGAGGCCCUGUUCAUCCAUCAGGCCUGGAAACACCAGCAGGACUGGCCAAUCCGCCCCAGAGCUCAGCCAGCACGGACAGUCAGUCUUGGCCAGCAGCACCUUCCUCAGGCCUGAGAAGAAGAGGCCAGGUCUGCCUUGCACAAGCUGCAAACUUUGGUUCCCUGCACACCAGGCAGAGGGGGCUGCCCUGCCAGAGGCAGCUCCCACAUCCCCUGAGCCUGAGUCAUUACCUGCUAAAGAGGGGACAGCUCUUCAAAAGACCUGUGGCCUCCUGGGUCCCGGCAGCAUCCGUGAAAGUGAAAAGAGCAGAAUGUUGGUUGGCACAGUUUUCUGAAUCUCUCCCUGGGCCAUCUGUUCCAGUUACUGCUGUUUUCUAACAAAGCACCCCAAAACUUAGCGGCUUACCACAGCCAUCUUCCCAUACUCCUGGUUCUGCAGGUCUGGAAGUUGCACAGAGCACAGGAGGGCUGACUUGCUUCCAUCCUGUAAAGUCUGAGGCCUCCACUGCAAAGACUCCACAGCUGAGAGGGACCCAACAGCUGGAACCAUCUGAAGAUGUCAUCUCUCAUGUUUCCCCCACAUGAUGCUGGCUGUUGGUGCGACCUCAGCCCAGGCUGUUGGCCACAACAGCCUCUGCAUGUGGCUUGGGCUUCCUCAGAGCAUGGCGGCCUCAUCACAGUCAGACUUCUUGACUACAGGCUCAGGGCUCCAGAG